rnacentral:piRNA from 1 species
UGUUAGCACAAUGUGGCCUAAGGGGUUUC